UGCAACAGCACUUAAUGUUAUUAUUUAUAAAUUUGCAGCCAUCAUUCACCCCCACAGAAGAACGCUUCUGCAUGUUCUGUGCAGCGAGGAAGUGCACAGGGCUCAGAGACUGCUCACAUUCUCCUGCUUACACUUUACGGACUUCAGGCUGAAGGAUGAAAUUGUACUCUCAGGUCUCAUCUAGAGACGUGAGAUACCCAGAACACCUGCAACGGGACAGAUUACUCAAAGUCAGGCUUCAACCAAAAAUGCAACCGAGCAGCGGCCAUGUGAGCAGGAGUGAGGCUCACCUAAGCAAGCUGGAGCCACCAGCCCCUACCUCCCACAACCCCCUCCCACAGCCAGACCCGGGGCUCCAGCCCGAAUGCAGCCAGGGAGGGAUGAGGGCCCAGGGGGGCCACAUCGCUUAGGAGUUAUCACAUUGGAGCGUGUGUUCCUCGGAGGGGCAGGCUGGGGUCUCAUUUGCCUUGGACCCCCUCCAAACACUAGCACAGCAAUGUCCACCUAUGGAUGUGAGGAUCAGAUGACGGGGCCAAACGUGUGACUACCUGUAGAAGUGGUAACAACUACGUCGGAGGUCUUCACCAGCUGGGGUUCAGUCUAGUCAGAUGACCAAGCGAGGCGGGCUUGUCGCGCAGGCCGACACAAUCUUGGAAUCAGAACGAUAAAUACAUUGCAAGAGAGUUACAGGUGCAAAAUUGCACAUAUAAGUUUGACAUUGAUUCAUGUCAAGUGAACUUUAACUGCUAUUUCCAAUUCUCCUCCCAAUUUGACAUCAGAGCUAUUGCUUACAAGCUCCUUUGAGUCAAAACCAUCCUCCACAAAUAGCCCCCGGCAUCCUGCCCAUGGUACUCUAUCCGCUGUACUCCCUUGCACUUGUCCUCCGCCAGGGUUCAGCCCUCACAUCUGAUCCACAAAACUAUCUCGGACUAUAAAGUUUCAUUUCA